CCUACGGGUGGCAGCAGUGGGGAAUAUUGCACAAUGGGGGGAACCCUGAUGCAGCGACGCCGCGUGGGUGAAGGUGUCCUUCUGUACGUAAAGCUCUUUUAGCAGGAAAGAAAAUUACGGUACCUGACUAAGAAGCCACGGCUAUCUCCGUUCCAGCAGCCGCGGUACUACGGAGGGGGCAAGCGUUAUCCGGAUUUACUGGGUGUAACGGGGGCUUAGGCGGUAGAGCAGGUCCGUGGGGAAGGCCCGGGGCUCAACCCUGGGACUGCCCUGGAUACUGUCAUGCUGGAGUGCGGACGGGGCAGGAGGAAUGCGUGGUGUAGCGGUGAAAUGCAUAGAGAUCAGACAGAACACCGGUGGCGAAGGCAGCUUGCUAAACCGUAACUGACGUUGAGGCACGAAAGCGUGGGUAGCAAACAGGAUUAGAUACCCUAGUAGUC
rnacentral:rRNA from 1 species